UACGGAGGGAGCUAGCGUUGUUCGGAACUACUGGGCGUAAAGCGCACGUAGGCGGCGCAGCAAGUCAGGGGUGAAAUCCCGGGGCUCAACCCCGGAACUGCCCUUGAAACUGCAGUGCUAGAAUUCUGGAGAGGCGAGUGGAAUUCCGAGUGUAGAGGUGAAAUUCGUAGAUAUUCGCAAGAACACCAGUGGCGAAGGCGGCUCACUGGCCCGGUACUGACGCUGAGGUGCGAAAGCGUGGGGAGCAAACAGG
rnacentral:rRNA from 1 species